GGUUAAGUUAGAAAGGGCGCACGGUGGAUGCCUUGACACUAGGAGUCGAUGAAGGACGGGACUAACGCCGAUAUGCUUCGGGGAGCUGUAAGUAAGCUUUGAUCCGAAGAUUUCCGAAUGGGGAAACCCACCAUACGUAAUGGUAUGGUAUCCUUAUCUGAAUACAUAGGGUAAGGAAGACAGACCCAGGGAACUGAAACAUCUAAGUACCUGGAGGAAGAGAAAGCAAAUGCGAUUUCCUGAGUAGCGGCGAGCGAAACGGAACAUAGCCCAAACCAAGAGGCUUGCCUCUUGGGGUUGUAGGACAUUCUAUACGGAGUUACAAAGGAACGAGGUAGACGAAGCGACCUGGAAAGGUCCGUCGUAGAGGGUAACAACCCCGUAGUCGAAACUUCGUUCUCUCUUGAAUGUAUCCUGAGUACGGCGGAACACGUGAAAUUCCGUCGGAAUCUGGGAGGACCAUCUCCCAAGGCUAAAUACUCCCUAGUGAUCGAUAGUGAACCAGUACCGUGAGGGAAAGGUGAAAAGCACCCCGGAAGGGGAGUGAAAGAGAUCCUGAAACCGUGUGCCUACAAAUAGUCAGAGCCCGUUAACGGGUGAUGGCGUGCCUUUUGUAGAAUGAACCGGCGAGUUACGAUCCCGUGCGAGGUUAAGCUGAAGAGGCGGAGCCGCAGCGAAAGCGAGUCUGAAUAGGGCGUUUAGUACGUGGUCGUAGACCCGAAACCAGGUGAUCUACCCAUGUCCAGGGUGAAGUUCAGGUAACACUGAAUGGAGGCCCGAACCCACGCACGUUGAAAAGUGCGGGGAUGAGGUGUGGGUAGCGGAGAAAUUCCAAUCGAACCUGGAGAUAGCUGGUUCUCCCCGAAAUAGCUUUAGGGCUAGCCUUAAGUGUAAGAGUCUUGGAGGUAGAGCACUGAUUGGACUAGGGGUCCUCAUCGGAUUACCGAAUUCAGUCAAACUCCGAAUGCCAAUGACUUAUCCUUAGGAGUCAGACUGCGAGUGAUAAGAUCCGUAGUCAAAAGGGAAACAGCCCAGACCGCCAGCUAAGGUCCCAAAGUGUGUAUUAAGUGGAAAAGGAUGUGGAGUUGCUUAGACAACUAGGAUGUUGGCUUAGAAGCAGCCACCAUUUAAAGAGUGCGUAAUAGCUCACUAGUCGAGUGACUCUGCGCCGAAAAUGUACCGGGGCUAAAUACACCACCGAAGCUGCGGAUUGAUACCGAAUGGUAUCAGUGGUAGGGGAGCGUUCUAAGGACAGUGAAGUCAGACCGUAAGGACUGGUGGAGUGCUUAGAAGUGAGAAUGCCGGUAUGAGUAGCGAAAGACGGGUGAGAAUCCCGUCCACCGAAUGCCUAAGGUUUCCUGAGGAAGGCUCGUCCGCUCAGGGUUAGUCAGGACCUAAGCCGAGGCCGACAGGCGUAGGCGAUGGACAACAGGUUGAUAUUCCUGUACCACCUCUUUAUCGUUUGAGCAAUGGAGGGACGCAGAAGGAUAGAAGAAGCGUGCGAUUGGUUGUGCACGUCCAAGCAGUUAGGCUGAUAAGUAGGCAAAUCCGCUUAUCGUAAAGGCUGAGCUGUGAUGGGGAAGCUCCUUAUGGAGCGAAGUCUUUGAUUCCCCGCUGCCAAGAAAAGCUUCUAGCGAGAUAAAAGGUGCCUGUACCGCAAACCGACACAGGUAGGCGAGGAGAGAAUCCUAAGGUGUGCGAGAGAACUCUGGUUAAGGAACUCGGCAAAAUGACCCCGUAACUUCGGGAGAAGGGGUGCUUUCUUAACGGAAAGCCGCAGUGAAUAGGCCCAAGCGACUGUUUAGCAAAAACACAGCUCUCUGCGAAGCCGUAAGGCGAAGUAUAGGGGGUGACACCUGCCCGGUGCUGGAAGGUUAAGGAGAGGGGUUAGCGUAAGCGAAGCUCUGAACUGAAGCCCCAGUAAACGGCGGCCGUAACUAUAACGGUCCUAAGGUAGCGAAAUUCCUUGUCGGGUAAGUUCCGACCCGCACGAAAGGUGUAACGAUUUGGGCACUGUCUCAACCAGAGACUCGGUGAAAUUAUAGUACCUGUGAAGAUGCAGGUUACCCGCGACAGGACGGAAAGACCCCGUGGAGCUUUACUGUAGCCUGAUAUUGAAUUUUGGUACAGUUUGUACAGGAUAGGCGGGAGCCAUUGAAACCGGAGCGCUAGCUUCGGUGGAGGCGCUGGUGGGAUACCGCCCUGACUGUAUUGAAAUUCUAACCUACGGGUCUUAUCGACCCGGGAGACAGUGUCAGGUGGGCAGUUUGACUGGGGCGGUCGCCUCCUAAAGUGUAACGGAGGCGCCCAAAGGUUCCCUCAGAAUGGUUGGAAAUCAUUCGUAGAGUGCAAAGGCAUAAGGGAGCUUGACUGCGAGACCUACAAGUCGAGCAGGGACGAAAGUCGGGCUUAGUGAUCCGGUGGUUCCGCAUGGAAGGGCCAUCGCUCAACGGAUAAAAGCUACCCCGGGGAUAACAGGCUUAUCUCCCCCAAGAGUCCACAUCGACGGGGAGGUUUGGCACCUCGAUGUCGGCUCAUCGCAUCCUGGGGCUGUAGUCGGUCCCAAGGGUUGGGCUGUUCGCCCAUUAAAGCGGUACGCGAGCUGGGUUCAGAACGUCGUGAGACAGUUCGGUCCCUAUCCGUCGUGGGCGUAGGAAAUUUGAGAGGAGCUGUCCUUAGUACGAGAGGACCGGGAUGGACGCACCGCUGGUGUACCAGUUGUUCUGCCAAGGGCAUAGCUGGGUAGCUAUGUGCGGAAGGGAUAAGUGCUGAAAGCAUCUAAGCAUGAAGCCCCCCUCAAGAUGAGAUUUCCCAUAGCGUAAGCUAGUAAGAUCCCUGAAAGAUGAUCAGGUUGAUAGGUUCGAGGUGGAAGCAUGGUGACAUGUGGAGCUGACGAAUACUAAUAGAUCGAGGACUUAACCAU
rnacentral:rRNA from 1 species